rnacentral:rRNA from 1 species
CGCGUAGGCGGUUUGGUAAGCUGGAUGUGAAAUCCCGGCUCAACCUGGGAACUGCAUUCAGAACUGCCAGGCUAGAGUACAGUAGAGGAUAGUGGAAUUUCCGGUGUAGCGGUGAAAUGCGUAGAGAUCGGAAGGAACAUCAGUGGCGAAGGCGGCUAUCUGGACUGAUACUGACGCUGAGGUGCGAAAGCGUGGGGAGCAAACA